rnacentral:rRNA from 1 species
AUUGAACGCUGGCGGCAUGCUUUACACAUGCAAGUCGAACGGCAGCACGGGGGCAACCCUGGUGGCGAGUGGCGAACGGGUGAGUAAUGCAUCGGAACGUAUCCUUAAGUGGGGGAUAACGCAUCGAAAGAUGCGCUAAUACCGCAUAAUCUCUGAGGAGAAAAGCAGGGGAUCGCAAGACCUUGCGCUUUUGGAGCGGCCGAUGUCUGAUUAGCUAGUUGGUGAGGUAAAGGCUUACCAAGGCUUCGAUCAGUAGCUGGUCUGAGAGGACGACCAGCCACACUGGGACUGAGACACGGCCCAGACUCCUACGGGAGGCAGCAGUGGGGAAUUUUGGACAA